UAAACAAAUGGAUGCAGUAACUGAAUCCCUAGAUUCUAUGUCUACCGGUAUGGGCAUAAAUUUAAAAUCAUAAAUUAUAAUGUUAUUUACUGGAAAUUGUCAUUGUGAAAUCUGAAGUAAGUUAUCAUCAAAAUUGCAUCUUUUCAUUUGUUAUUAAAGAAUCUGUACAUUUGUAUGAGGGCAUUAGACUUGAACUAAGAUUAUUAAUUAAAUGAUUAAAUUAAUUAUUUGGGGACGAAUUGUAAAAACAAGUGCGAGUUGACUGGGGGCAAAUCAGCAGUAUGCCAUCAUUUACGCAUAUUUUUUAACACCUUCGUCUAGUUAACAUUAAACAAACAUGAAGUACAGUAAAUCUAUAACAUUUAAAUGGAAUUUAAUUUGUAACUGACUGUAUUGAUUUGAGACAAACCUACAUUUCGUCAGAAAAUAAAAACUCUCGGUAGCUUACCUCGCAGCCGCCGCCAUAUUUGUUUACCAAAAUCCCAUUAGCCAAUCAGGCCACAGAAGUCGCUGGUGGUUACCUGUCGUACUUUUUUAAAGUUCGCAGGGGACCAGUCUGUAAUAUAUUUCCCAUCUCUUUCUUGACUAGUUUAUAUUUUGAGUACAAUAUAACAUCAGUACCACUUUUUGCAAUAGAAAAUUUUGUCUAUAGAAAUAGAUAAGUGAAAAUAAAUCCUCUUUUACACAAAAUUGAUUACCAUCUAGUAACAAGUCUACAGUUUACCUGGGGUAAUGAGCUGACUGUAAAAAUCAGACAGUUAACAGGUUCAAAUAUUGUUCAUGUCUAAGUAAACUUGGCAUAUACCAAUUAUUAAAAGAGGACCAAAAUGGUCCUGGGUCCCUUACCCAGGGAAAGGGGACAAUAUAUGUCAUUUCAGGAGCCAUAAAUCUGGCGGCAAUGAUCUACUGUGACUGCUUCAAGAAGCAAACAAAGGACUUACAAGAGACAAGUUUGGUCAAAAUCAAAAUAAAUAGACGUACUAUUGCGCACACAGAAAUACUGUGUACAGACGGAAAACAGACAACAGCUAAACAACAUACAUGUACAAAAAGCUGCACAUGUUGGUGAGCUAAAACACAUCUUGCAGCUAACUCCAGCCAAAUAGUGGUUCUAAACUAUGGUAUCGGCUAUUAAUAUUUUUUAAACAAUAUCAGACAGUUUUACAUUUAUCGUGAGACCCUGGCACCGUGUUCACAAAACAUUUUCAGUCUGAGCUGAGUUUGAUAAUGAAAAUUUAUUUGUUAUUUAUAUCUAAAUGUCAUGAUUAAAACUAAAUUUUAAGUUAAUAACUAUUGUCAAGUGACUAUUCAGUAAUGACGGUCAGUCUCAGGUGGUAUUUAACCUUGAAGUUUUAGUAAAAUUGAUGUUAAAAUAUCAAACUCAAACUCAGCUGAGACCAAAACAUGUUUUGUGAACACGGGGCCAGCUGAUAGUAAGCACAAUACAUUUAAUCUUGGAAAAUAGUGAUUUUUCACACCGUAUUAAAAAAGAGCCAAAACAAAAGUACAUUGUACAUGAAAUGGUAUAAUAGCAGCAAUAAAUACACAGAAUGAUAUAAUUAUGAACAUACUAUAAUGUACAGGUCAUCUUUUUGUAAAAUCAAUGGCCCAGUAUAAUACUAUUUCAGCAUGUAUAUACAAACCAUAUUACUCAUGAAGCCUAAUUUUCUUCCUCAUUAUGAUCUACAUCACCAACAUUUUCAUUGGAUUGACCUGCAUUAUAUACAUGUACAUCACCAUAAUAUCUAUUAUCAUAUCAGCACUACUAAUAGUGUGUAAAAUGUAAAAUGCAUAUACCCAUGUACAUGUAUAAAACAUUCUAUUUGUUUAUAGUUAUUUUUGGUCCCAAACUAUUCUCUUUACCUGUAAACACAGAUUCAAGAAAAAUCUUUGUGGUAAUAAAACCAUUAAUUUUCUGAGAGAAUGUGUUACAGCAUGAAGUCUUGCUGUGGUCAGUUAAGGGCAGCAAGUAAUUUCUUUACAGUUAAUGUCAUUCACAGAAUAGUUCUCCAGUUCUCCAAUCUCGGCCUUUAAAGUUUUUUUUACAGUUUCCCUAUUUCCUCUUUAUCUCUGAAAUUACUUGAUUGAUUUGCUUUUAAUUUUAAAAGCUAUUCCCCACCACUAUCCACAUCAUUCAGCUUGAGGGCCAUAACUCUCAUGCCAGUAUUUCAUUAAUUUUCCCUCCUUUUCACUUCAAGUUAAAUUUUUUGUGCAUUUUCACUGUGGCCCAGUUAUUACUGUAUGGAUUUUAUUCAAAUUUAAAAUAGUUGCUCCACAUCAUCACCCACAUCAUACGACACAAAGUCCAUAACUCUGGCACCAAUUUUUCAUGAAUUAUGCCCCCUUUUACUUGAAAUUUAAGGUAAAUUUUGAUGCAUUUUCACUAUAUCUCAGUUGUUACUGGAUGGAUUUGAUUCAGACUUGAAGUAGUUGUUCCACAUUCAUAUGACACAAGAUGCAUAAUUCUUGCACCAAAAUUUUAUAAAUUAUGCCCACUAGAAUUAUAGUUAUUUAGUGUUUUUAUACACUUUAUCUUUAUCUCUCUUAUUACUUUUUAUUUUGGACACAAACUAAAGUUAUUGUGCAAUAUCUUUAUCCACCAUUAAAGUCAUUUAACACUCAAGUGACAGCUCCAAAUUCCUCAGAUGUGCCAAUUUUCACUUUCCAGGAUCGAAAUUGUUGGGCGUUCUGUUUCCUAUAACAGCUCUUGUUAUAGCAAUGCAAGAAAAUAUGAACAAUAUUCAAUAACGAAAGUAACAACAUACUGCAUGAGAUAUCACAUGAAGUCAUUAAUAUUUCUUCAAUCUUGAUUUUCAGCAAUAAAAUGAGCAGGUUUUAAAAGUUGGCCUUUGGCAGUCUAAACUUAAAAUGACUUGGGAACAGUCAAACUAACCAAAACAUUGCAGUAAUACAACAUGAAGGAGAAAACAGCCCAGGUUUCAUAUACUGCCUCACCUUCCGGAAAACCAGGCCAGUUGAAACCAGAGACUACCGGUACAUUUUUUGGUGAUCAUUUGACGAAGCCAGUUGUAGUGCUUUUACAGUUAGGGAGAGUGAGUUUACAUUUUGCUGGAACCUUGUUACAGGUACAUGUAUAUACUCUGGUUACAGAUUGCAGUAUCAGCCAGAAACCACAGCCAUUCUAAAUAUAGGACGAACACAAUCAGACAAGCUGGCAAGAUGAUUUUUACGUUCAGGAGUGUUGACAUUCUGCCCAAGAUUCUAGUCUGGAGAUACCAUCGGCGAUCUUAGAAUUUUUUUUAAAGAUUUAAGUUUAAAAAUGUGAUAUUGACUUUUAAAAGACUACAUUAAUAUUUUAUACUGUUUUCAGUCAAAGGUUUUAAACUUCUUUUUUGGGGGGAGGGGGGAUAACUGUACUGGAGACAAUUUUGUAUGGCAAAAUAAAACAAAGAAAAAUAUUUUUAUGUUAAAAAUACCUUUUUUAUAUAUGAAUACUUAUGAAUUGACUUUUUCAUGUCUCUAAGAUACGCAAGAUUGCAGUGAUUGCUUGUUAGCUCAUCAGAGCACGAAGUAUUCAAGGUGAGCAAUUGUGACCGGUCAUUGUCAGUUGUGUGUCGUCCGUCAACAUUUGCUUUGUUAACACUUCAGAGGCCAUAUUUGUGACCCAAUCUUUAUGAAACUUGGUCACAAUUUUUUUCUUGAUAAUUUCUAGGUCAAGUUUGAAACAGGGUCAUGAGGGGACUUAAACCAGGGCAGCAGGCAGAUCAAAGGAAAAGCUUGUGAAUAAUUUAGAAGCAGAACGUUUGUCUUGAUGAUUUCUAGGUCAAGUUUGAAUCUGGGUCAUUUGUGGUUUAAAAACUAGGUCACCCGUUCAAAUUGAAGGAAAACCUUGUGAACACUUUAGAGACCACAGUUGUAACUCAAUCUUUAUGAAGCUUGGUCAGAAUGCUUGUCUUGAUGAUUGCUAGGUCAAGUUUGAAACUGGAAUAUGUUGGAUCAAAACUAGGUCACCAGGCCAGAUCAAAGGAAAAUCUUGUGAACACUCGAGAGACUGCAAUUAAAGUUUGAAACUCAUGAGAAUUGGUCAGAAUGUAAGUCAGAAUGAGUAUUAGUCAGAAUGUAGGUCACUCAGUCAAAUCAAAGGAAAUGUUGUGCUACAGUUGUGACCAAUUCUUUAUGAAAUUCGGUAAGAAUGUUUGUCUUGAUGAUAUCUAGGUCAAGUUUGUAACUGAGUUAUGUGGGCCAUAAACUAGGUCACUAGGCCAGAUCAAAGGAAAAUCUUGAGAACUCUCUAGAGACCACAAUUUAAAUUUGAAACUCAUGAGAAAGCUUGUGAAUAUCAAUAGGCCACAGUUGUGAAUAUAACUUGUCCAAUAAACUUGGACACAAUGUUUGUCUUGAUCAUCUCUAGGUCAAGUACGAAUCUGGGUCACAUGGUUUCAAAAACUAAGUAAGGAAGAAUGGACUAUUGACUUGUUUCCCAGAUAAAUCUGCUUAUGUCUAGGUUGAGGUCAAUUGUUCAUAUUUCAAGGGUUUUAAUAAAGGAUUAUGUAGCUUAUUUUGUAGAACCUCUUUUGUUCAGUUCCCUUCCAGUCAAAUAAACACUAUUAUAAUGAUGUAUAAUAUUUUUGAUACAUUUUGUCUUUUAACUAGAAACCUUUCAAUAGCUGUAAGCAUUGUUACAUGAUUGCUGAUGUAAUGUAAGUGCCUUACUAGAUUUGACCUGUUGUUUAAUGUACAAAAAUGAUAGCUAAAUCUUAAAUAUGUUUGAAUGGUAUAGUUUGUCAUUUACUCUGUCGUUGGAAAAGUACAAUUUGUAUGCAUUGAUUGAAAUGAGAAUAGACAUGAAUGUUUAUGCAGUAAAAAAACAAGAAUGAUAACUGUAUUUAUCUCCCCUCCUACAAAAUUCUUGCAUUUCUAUUGGUCAAUAGACGUCAAGUGGAGACAGGAUAUAUUCCAUUAUCCUGCUAGUACAUUUCAGAUAUGAAUUUUUAUUAUAUACCUAUAUAAAUUGUGUAAGAAAUCGGCUUGUAUUUCAUAAUUAAAUAUGAACAGACAGACAAAAAUUCUGUAUUGUACCUUUUAAAUUCCGUAUUGUACCUUCCGUAUUGUAUGCUGCCGAACUAUUUUCAUAAAUAUGCAUGACCCGACAUAUUUCUAUAAAGAACGCACAUAAAAACUUCACUAAGUUCCAUUUAAUAUCGAUAAACAUUGAAGAUUUCGUUCAAGAACAAAACAAGAAUCAAAAUGGUAAAGGUAUAUAAUAAAAGGGUCAUUAUAACAGUAGCUAGAUCUGGGACUUUGUAUUCGGCUCUCGUGGAUUUUGCAAGGUCCCAUCACACUCGGCGCUUGCGUGCCUCGUGAGAUCCGAGCUGGCAAAAUCCACUCGAGUCAAAUACUGCAUCCCAGAUUAAUCUACUGUUAUAAUAACCCUAUUUGAUUAAAAACAAAAUGACUGCCGUAUCGCUAGCGUAAUUGAAUCAAGUCAGAUUACAAGCUAUAGAUAUCGAUUCCGAGAUAAAAAAUUUAGUCUUUUCUUGCAGUUCUCAUUUUACUUAUCUAAUUUAGGUUUGUGAAGUUAGCCGUAAGUAAAAGGAAGAACCGUAACUCUGUAAGGCACAGCCGUGAUGGAUUACCAGGUCAAAUGUUGUUAUUAUUUGCCGGCUUCGGAUUGGUUGAAGCAUUCGUAGCAUUCAAUGAGACUUCACCUGAAUGGUUAAAAAUGUGUUGCUUUGAAUCAUGAAAAUAUCCUUAAAAUAUGGAAAUGAAAUGUUUUCUGUGCAUUUUGAAGUAUUUUAUAGCUGCCUGGCUAUAUAUUUAACUGUGAAAUUAGCAAUUUAGUACUUGUUGGAAUUCGCCACUAAAUUCCAUGCACAGUUCAGGGUGGUUGUCUUUGAAUGGAAAUAGAAAAAAAUGGAUAGGGCAUGCCCAUGUGAAAAUGUUAUUUUUUGGUGUCUGGAAGUCUAUUUGACAGAGUAAAUGGCAUCUCAUGUGUCAACAAAAGUUUUGAAGGGGUCAUACAGAGUCAUUUCUUACAAUGUAAGCCUAUGGAAAAAUUAAUAGCAGUGUCUGACCACCAGGUUGAAAUCUUGUUUGAGUUAAAUCAUCAAAAAGGAAAGGAAUUAACAUAUUUGUAAGAAGCAGUUUAUUGUAGGAUCAUUUAAUCUACUUGCAAGGUAAAGGAAUUAGCAGGAAACGGGACGAAAGCCAAAGUUUUGAGACAUUUAUGACAUCGUGUAAUCUGAUUU